CCUACGGGUGACAGCAGUGAGGAAUAUUGGUCAAUGGGCGACAGCCUGAACCAGCCAAGUCGCGUGAGGGAAGACGGUCCUAUGGAUUGUACACCUCUUUUGCCGGGGAGCAAAAAGCGGUACGUGUACCGCAUCGAGAGUACCCGGCGAAAAAGCAUCGGCUAACUCCGCGCCAGCAGCCGCGGUAAUACGGGGGAUGCGAGCGGUAUCCGGAUUUAUUGGGUUUAAAGGCUGCGCAGGCGGCGCGUUAAGUCAGCGGUAAAAUGUCGGGGCUCAACCCCGGCAAGCCGUUGAAACUGGCUUGCUAGAGUGGGCGAGAAGUAUGCGGAAUGCGUGGUGUAGCGGUGAAAUGCAUAGAUAGCACGCAGAACUCCGAUUGCGAAGGCAGCAUACCGGCGCCCAACUGACGCUCAGGCACGAAAGCGUGGGUAUCGAACAGGAUUAGAUACCCUGGUAGUC
rnacentral:rRNA from 1 species